GACGAACGCUGGCGGCGUGCUUAACACAUGCAAGUCGAACGGACAGGCCCUGCGUUUGUGGGGUGCUCGAGUGGCGAACGGGUGAGUAACACGUGAGUAACCUGCCCUUGAAUUUGGGAUAACUUCAGGAAACUGGGGCUAAUACCGGAUAGGAGCUCCUGCUGCAUGGUGGGGGUUGGAAAGUUUCGGCGGUUGGGGAUGGACUCGCGGCUUAUCAGCUAGUUGGUGGGGUAGUUGCUUACCAAGGCUUUGACGGGUAGCCGGCCUGAGAGGGUGGACGGCGACAUGGGGACUGAGAGACGGCGCAGAAUCGUACGGGAGGCAGCAGGGGGGAGUAUGGCAGAAUGGGCGGAAGCGUGAGGCAGCAACGCCGCGUGCGUGAUGACGUCCUUCGGGUUGUAAACCGCUUUCGCCUGUGACGAAGAGUGAGUGACGGUAAUGGGUAAAGAAGCACCGGCUAACUACGUG
rnacentral:rRNA from 1 species